UACCAGCACCCCGAGUGGUCGGGACGAUUAUUGGGCCUAAAGCAUCCGUAGCCGGUCUUGCAAGUCUUCCGUUAAAUCCAGCUGCUUAACGGAUGGGCCGCGGAAGAUACUACAAGACUAGGAGGCGGGAGAGGCAAGCGGUACUCAGUGGGUAGGGGUAAAAUCCUCUGAUCCAUUGAAGACCACCAGUGGCGAAGGCGGCUUGCCAGAACGCGCUCGACGGUGAGGGAUGAAAGCUGGGGGAGCAAACCGG
rnacentral:rRNA from 1 species